CUUGUUCAUCCAUUUGUGUAAAAUUAACUUAUCGGUUAUAUUUUCUUUAAAAUUAUCCUGAAAUAUCUAUAACGUUAACUACCACAUGCGUUUGGGAUUACAAAUGUAAUUUCGAAGCCCUAAAUUUCUGUAUUUGAUUUAGCACAAAUAUCUCAUACAACAUAAUUUAGAAUUUUAAUACUAUCUUAUAUUCUUGCCAAGGGGAAUCUAAAUCUCAAUUUGUGGCCAAAAGGUUUAAAGGCUAGUUUUUAGGCGGACACCAAAUUAGAUCACAAGUUUAAAGCAUAAAGACACUAAAAGCUGGUUUGGUUAGGUCGAGUUUGCAAAUGCAAUCUUAAUAUAUUUGGUGCGGACUCUCAUAGAUAGCACUAGCGCUGCUACAAACUAUAAUAGCCCAAAAACACUUAUGACUCGCCGCUUCCUUCGCCACAGAAAUCUGGUUAAAGAAAUGCUAUUUUGCG
rnacentral:lncRNA from 1 species